rnacentral:rRNA from 1 species
GCAAGUCUGGUGCCAGCAGCCGCGGUAAUUCCAGCUCCAAUAGCGUAUAUUAAAGUUGUUGCAGUUAAAAAGCUCGUAGUUGAAUUUCGGGAUCAAUAUUUCGGUCAUGCCGUUGGUAUGCACUGUUAUCAUUGAUUUCUCACCUUCUAAAGAACCAUAAUGCCAUUAAUUUGGUGUUACGGGGAAUUAGGACUGUUACCUUGAAAAAAUUAGAGUGUUUAAAGCAGGCUCACGCUUGAAUACAUUAGCAUGGAAUAAUGAAAUAGGACAUCCGAUUCUAUUUUGUUGGUUUCUAGGAUCGAUGUAAUGAUUAAUAGGGAUAGUUGGGGGCAUUAGUAUUCAAUUGUCAGAGGUGAAAUUCUUGGAUUUAUUGAAGACUAACUACUGCGAAAGCAUUUGCCAAGGAUGUUUUCAUUAAUCAAGAACGAAAGUUAGGGGAUCGAAGACGAUCAGAUACCGUCGUAGCCUUAACCAUAAACUAUGCCGACUAGGGAUCGGAUGAUGUUGAUUUUUUAAUGACUCAUUCGGCGCCUUACGGGAAAC